rnacentral:rRNA from 1 species
AACGAACGCUGGCGGCAUGCCUAGCACAUGCAAGUCGAACGAGACCUUCGGGUCUAGUGGCGCACGGGUGCGUAACGCGUGGGAACCUGCCCUUAGGUUCGGAAUAACUCCCCGAAAGGGGUGCUAAUACCGGAUAAUGUCUUCGGACCAAAGAUUUAUCGCCUUUGGAUGGGCCCGCGUUGGAUUAGCUAGUUGGUAGGGUAAAAGCCUACCAAGGCGACGAUCCAUAGCUGGUCUGAGAGGAUGAUCAGCCACACUGGGACUGAGACACGGCCCAGACUCCUACGGGAGGCAGCAGUGGGGAAUAUUGGACAAUGGGCGAAAGCCUGAUCCAGCAAUGCCGCGUGAGUGAUGAAGGCCUUAGGGUUGUAAAGCUCUUUUACCCGGGAUGAUAAUGACAGUACCGUGAGAAUAAGCUCCGGCUAACUCCGUG